ACGGGUGAGUAACGCGUGGGAAUCUACCCAUCUCUACGGAAUAACGCAUGGAAACGUGUGCUAAUACCGUAUACGUCCUUCGGGAGAAAGAUUUAUCGGAGAUGGAUGAGCCCGCGUUGGAUUAGCUAGUUGGUGGGGUAAAGGCCUACCAAGGCGACGAUCCAUAGCUGGUCUGAGAGGAUGAUCAGCCACACUGGGACUGAGACACGGCCCAGACUCCUACGGGAGGCAGCAGUGGGGAAUAUUGGACAAUGGGCGCAAGCCUGAUCCAGCCAUGCCGCGUGAGUGAUGAAGGCCCUAGGGUUGUAAAGCUCUUUCACCGGUGAAGAUAAUGACGGUAACCGGAGAAGAAGCCCCGGCUAACUUCGUGCCAGCAGCCGCGGUAAUACGAAGGGGGCUAGCGUUGUUCGGAUUUACUGGGCGUAAAGCGCACGUAGGCGGACUAUUAAGUCAGGGGUGAAAUCCCGGGGCUCAACCCCGGAACCGCCUUUGAUACUGGUAGUCUUGAGUUCGAGAGAGGUGAGUGGAAUUCCGAGUGUAGAGGUGAAAUUCGUAGA
rnacentral:rRNA from 1 species